ACUCUUGUUUCUCUUCAGAUCGUACAAAUAUUUCGCCUUUUACUAAAUAUGUCCGUAGAGAGGAACAACAAGAUUAUCCCAAAUUUUUGGAUGCCCUGUUUUACAGCGGGGCU
ensembl:snRNA U5 U5 spliceosomal RNA